rnacentral:tRNA from 1 species
AUUUGCAUAAUAUAAAUAUAUUAUAUUUAACUUCCAAUUAAAAAAUCUAGACACUAGGGCAAAUA